AAUACCAGGAACAGCAAGUAUCAAUCUUAAUUUGGUAUUCCAGAGGUGGUUUGAUGCUGAUAGAGAUGUCAAUUGGGAUACAUUAAUAAAACUGUGUGAUGACUUUCCUGAUCAACUGGGCAAAGCAAGGUCUAACCUUAGAUUGAUUGAAGACACAUCAAUCAGUGAAUUUUCCGUGCUAGCAUCUCAUUCAGCAAGUAGCAUAAGUACCAGUGCAGGUGGUCAUAACAUAACUUCUCCUUUUAGAAAUAAAAUAAGUGAAAAGAAUGUUUAUAAGUCUUUGAAUGCUUUACAUCUGAAAUUUUCAGAUUUAUUUAUGAUUUUUGAAAGAAAUUUUG